rnacentral:rRNA from 1 species
UACGUAGGGUGCGAGCGUUAAUCGGAAUUACUGGGCGUAAAGCGCACGUAGGCGGCUUUGUAAGUUAGAGGUGAAAGCCCGGGGCUCAACUCCGGAAUUGCCUUUAAGACUGCAUCGCUAGAAUUGUGGAGAGGUGAGUGGAAUUCCGAGUGUAGAGGUGAAAUUCGUAGAUAUUCGGAAGAACACCAGUGGCGAAGGCGGCAUCCUGGACCAACACUGACGCUGAGGAGCGAAAGCCAGGGGAGCAAACGGG